CGGGAAAAGCUCAAAUUUAUAAUCCUCACGGAGUUGUAAUCUAGAGACGUGUUUUCGGCCAUUGACUCGGACAAGUUCCUUGGAACAGGACGUCAUAGAGGGUGAGAAUCCCGUACUUGCCGAGCUCCCAAUGUCUAUGUGAUGCACG
rnacentral:rRNA from 1 species